CAGAUAAGCUUACCUGAAGACAACACAAUUCUUGACAUGGGUCUACAGCUGUUGGCCCUCUUAACUCUUUUCACCAUAUAAACUCAAUAUCAUGAGCUAAAAUUUAUAUAUUUAUAUCAAGCUAAUGAUCUGGUGUUCAUCCCUUCAACAAGGUCAAGGUUUUACAAUUCCGGGUCAAAUUUUUGCUCUUAUGCGACGUAAAGUGUGCUGAUAGAGAAUAUUUAAGUAAGGAGUAAAAGAGAGGGAAUGGAUUGUUGUUGGAUCUUGUGUUGCGAUGAUGAUGACUUCAGACCAGGAGAGAGAUGACGACUAUGUUGAUUCUAAACCCUGUGAUGAUAAAAUGGAUGUGGACAUUGUUGAGUUCAAUGUUGAGUUGGAUGAAACUAAUGUUAUGGAGCCUGACGAUGAUCCUCCAUAGAAGACUCUAGCACUAGCAGUUUCAUCAUAAGAAGCUGUGUAAACUUAUUGCUUAUAGUAUCAAAUGUACCUCUUGCCCAAAAAACUUUAUAAUGAAGCAUAUGGGUGCGUUGUUGAGUUCAAUGUUGAGUUGGAUAAAACUAAUGUUAUGGAGCCUGACAAUGAUUCUCCAUAGAAGAUGGGAAAUCCUUCGAUUGAAGUAAUGGAAGGAAACCAAGAUGCGACGCACGUAGAAAAAUCAAAAACCAUUCUU